AAAAGAAGAUGAGAAACUGAAAAAAAUUGACUGGAAUAAAUGGAAUGAACUGAUUAGCAAUAAGGAACUUUUAAAUUGGUAUAAAAAAAAAAUACAUGUAUAGGAAAAAAUAUAGAAUAUAUAUAUUUUUUUUUUAUACAUAUGUACAUGUGUCUGUACGUAUUAGCACAGAGGUAUAUAUAUAUAUAUAUAUAUGUAUAUGCAUGUUGACGCAUGUGCUUGUACGCACGAGCACAUUCACAUACGUGUUUGUACGUAAGAUCACAUAUGUAUCGUUCUUUUUUUUUUUUUUUUUUUUUUUUUUUUUUUCCACUUCUACGACCAAAUGUAGCAUGAAAAGCUUCUACGAUAAUCAAAUAAACACCUUCGAAGAAAUGGAAAAAGCAGAACAAACGACUAUAAAAGAUCAAAAAGACAAAAAAAACGAAGAAGAUAUAAUAUAUGAUGAAGCAUUAAAAAACUGUAAAACAGAAGAAGAAAAAAGCUCUAAACUUUUAAUAAAUGGAGCUAAAACAUUAUGGAUUAGUUUCCAUAAUCCACCAAUUAAUAACAUAGACACAAAUGAGUGGAUUGAUAGUGACAUGUAUUGGCAAGCCUUCAUUGAAAAACACAGUGUUUAUAAUUUAAAUAAUAAAAGUCUAGAACCAGAAGAUGAAGAGAAUAGGAAUUUUCAAAAAACAGAAUGGCAUAAAAAAACAAGUAAAUUUAAUGAGAGAAGUGAUACACCCAUUUUGUAUGAUUACAUGAUAAAUUUACCAUCAUGGGAAUACUAUGAUAUAAAUAGAAGAAUAUUUUUAGAAAAUUUAAUUUAUUUUUUAUUAAGAACAGGAUUAAAUUAUAAAUUUUUUCCUGAACUGUUCAGCUGGAAAUGGAAAACACAUAUAGAAGAUUUACGUUAUGAAUUCAUUGAUGUAGCUCAAAAAAAAAGAAAGUCAUAUCAGCUAGCUAAAUUAAAAAGAGAAGUACCUUUAGAUUUACAGCCAGUUGAUUAUGAACACAAAGGAGAAGAAUAUCACUUAAAAUUAUUAACACAUUUUAAAGAGUAUCAAAAUUUAGUUAUAUCGAGAUUAAUGGCUAGUUAUAUAUUUUUAUGUCAACCUUACAUACCUAUUCAAACCAAAGAAGCGUUAGAAAAUGUUUUGAGUUUGCACAAAAAUGGUAAACUAUAUAAACUAAACGGUACCGAAGUUAAUUGUUUGUUUUAUUUGCCUCAUGUUUCUGAUGGUUUGGAAAAUAAGAACACUUCUGCUGACAAAACUGAUAUAAUGUACAAACCAUUAGACGCUAUGAAUACUUUUUAUGAAUAUUUAAAAAAACAGAAUAUCCAUUUAAAUGAAUCUUAUGCUAAAUUAUUAUCUAUAUUUUCACAAAUAUUACAAGAAAGAGGUGAUUAUUGGUUAAAAACGCCUAAUGAACAUAUUGCUGAUUCCUUUUUAAGAAGAUACAACAAAAGCGACGAAUUAUAUCCUGUCUUUGUCGAAUAUGUUACUCAAUUAAAAAAUAAUUUUAACAAUAAAAUAGAAAUUAAAAAAGAUGAUUAUAAAAAAGAAAUUGAAGAUGUUGAACAAAAAUAUAAAAACGAAUGUAUUUUUUUCCAAAACCUCGUUCAAACCUUUUUACCAUCAGAUAUUUCUUUAAUUCCUGAUGAAGACACUACGCCAGAUUUAACAAAACUGAGUGAAACAGAAAUUCAAAAAUUAAUAGAUGAACAAAAAAUUAAAAUAUUUGAUGAAGAAACAAAUCAGCUAAUUGUAGAUCCAAAAAAAAUUCAAGAAUAUGCAUUAAAUAAUGAAACUAACAGGCAAGAAAUUCAGGAGUUCCUUAAGUCAUUGCCAUCUUGAGUUAAGUACAUUAGCAUCCAUAUGCAUAAAUUUGUAUUAAUUUGUUAAUUAAUUUUUAUUUUUUUUUUUUUUUUUUUUACUAUUUUAACUUUGUUCCAAAUCGGUGUGCUUGUUUGAAAACAUGUACGUAUACAUUAAUAGUUGGUUAUUAAUUAAUUAAUUAAUUAAUUUUU
ensembl:lncRNA